rnacentral:rRNA from 1 species
UGGGGAAUUUUGGACAAUGGGGGCAACCCUGAUCCAGCAAUGCCGCGUGUGUGAAGAAGGCCUUCGGGUUGUAAAGCACUUUUGUCCGGAAAGAAAACGUCGUGGUUAAUACCCGUGGCGGCUGACGGUACCGGAAGAAUAAGCACCGGCUAACUACGUGCCAGCAGCCGCGGUAAUACGUAGGGUGCAAGCGUUAAUCGGAAUUACUGGGCGUAAAGCGUGCGCAGGCGGUCCGCUAAGACAGAUGUGAAAUCCCCGGGCUUAACCUGGGAACUGCAUUUGUGACUGGCGGGCUAGAGUAUGGCAGAGGGGGGUAGAAUUCCACGUGUAGCAGUGAAAUGCGUAGAGAUGUGGAGGAAUACCGAUGGCGAAGGCAGCCCCUGGGCCAAUACUGACGCUCAUGCACGAAAGCGUGGGGAGCAAACAGGAUUAGAUACCCUGGUAGUCCACGCCCUAAACGAUGUCAACUAGUUGUCGGGUCUUCAUUGACUUGGUAACGUAGCUAACGCGUGAAGUUGACCGCCUGGGGAGUACGGUCGCAAGAUUAAAACUUAAAUGAAUUGACGGGGUCAUAGCUGUUUCCUG